rnacentral:misc_RNA from 1 species
AACGCACAUUGCGCCCGCCAGCAUCCUGGCGGGCAUGCCUGUUCGAGCGUCAUUUCAACCCUCAAGCCCCCGCGGCUUGGUGUUGGGGGCCUGCGCACCGCAGCCCCCGAAAGACAGCGGCGGGCGUGGCCUGGCACCGAACGUAGUAGACUCUCUCUCGUUCGCGGCACCAGGGCGCGCUUCCGGCCGGUAAACCCCCAUCUUUUUUACGUGGUUGACCUCGGAUCAGGUAGGAAUACCCGCUGAACUUAA